rnacentral:rRNA from 1 species
GGGCACGGGGGGCCUUACGGGGAGGCAGCAGUGGGGAAUUGUUCACAAUGGGCGCAAGCCUGAUGACGCAACGCCGCGUGGGGGAUGAAGGUCUUCGGAUUGUAAACCCCUGUCGAAUGGGAACGAAUGGCCCGCGUUUUAAUACUGCGCGGGAAUGACGGUACCGUUAAAGGAAGCCCGGCUAACUCUGUGCC